rnacentral:rRNA from 1 species
AAUGAACGCUGGCGGCAGGCCUAACACAUGCAAGUCGAACGGAUCCUUCGGGAUUAGUACGGACGGGUGAGUAACGCGUGGGAACAUACCCUUUGGUACGGAAUAGCCUCGGGAAACUGGGAGUAAUACCGUAUGUGGUCGAGAGACGAAAGAUUUAUCGCCAAGGAUUGGCCCGCGUUGGAUUAGGUAGUUGGUGGGGUAAUGGCCUACCAAGCCGACGAUCCAUAGCUGGUUUGAGAGGAUAAUAAGCCACACUGGGACUGAGACACGGCCCAGACUCCUACGGGAGGCAGCAGUGGGGAAUUUUAGACAAUGGGGGAAACCCUGAUCUAGCCAUGCCGCGUGAUCGAUGAAGGCCUUAGGGUUGUAAAGAUCUUUCAGGUGGGAAGAUAUUGACUGUACCACCAGAAGAAGCCCCGGCUAACUCCGUGCCAGCCGCCGCAGUAACAC